GCUAUAUAUCACUUGUGAGUGUUUGUGAGGUCUUAUUUCGAUUGAGCUUGGUAGAAAGUGUUAGGUUCGUAACGACAGAGAUGGUGUCUCAUGUAGUUCUAGUUCGCGUUUUUCGGACUGGAUAGGACUAGGUGGGCGCUUAUAUCAUGGGUUGGGAUGUGUUUAAAAGAAAAGGGUGAAUUCAUUGUUGAUAAGGAAAGGGAAAGAAUUCUAGGGGAAGUAAGCUAAAGAAGUUAGAAAAAAAUAUAGUAAAGGUUUUGGGAAUGUUAAAGAAAAGAAUGAGGUCCUUGUUAGCUAAAGAAGAAGGGGUAAAAGCCUUUGGUUUUAAAGAUUAAAAACAGGAACCUUAGUUGUUAAAGAAAUCCAAAUCCGCUAGAUGUAUCAGAGUAUUCAGAAAGCUUCUCCUAGAGUUAAGAGAAAAGAAAAGAAUGAUAUGAAAAAGAGUUCAUGAGUGCAAAGGGUAGAGUUAAGUUCUUGUAUAAGGACUGGAGUUGGGAUUACCAUUAGAGCUUCAUUGUUAUACUCUGGGUAGAUGGGAUCUUAUCUAUGUAUGCAUAACUUGGGACUUACCUUUAGCAUUCUACUAAAGCUCAAUCAUUCUUGAGGGAUCCCCUGUUACUUAAACCUAUUCUGUAAGGGACCAUCUUUGUCUCUUGACCUUCACCUUAGCCAAAUGAGUUCAUUGAUGAUGCAUUGCUUGAUUCACGUUCUAGAACUAAUGAAUGUUAAAGGGAUUGGUAGAUUUGAAAGCAUGUGUAGGUCGAGUAUAAGAGACGGAUUGAUUGAUAACAAUGCAUGGCUAACGUUUUUGAGUAAAAUUUAAUCAUAUCGCAUCUUAGAACUACCAACUUGGACAUUGAUUUUAUUUGCUCUAUCAUAUGCUUUGGUUCUGAGUCCCCGCCUUCAAACCUCUCCUUCAACUAUGUCUUCUUAUUUGCUUGAGGGCAAGCAAAGACUAAGUUUGGGGGAGUUGAUAUGUCUAUAAUUUGCAUGUUUUCAGUGUCCAUUCAUCAUCGUUUCGAGUCCAGUUUCAUAUCAUUCAUCACUGUUUUAUAUCAUUUCUCAUCAUUCUUGCAUACUUUGCAUGAUUAGGAUAGCUUUGCAUACAUAUUGCAUUUCUGAGUUGUUUUCAGGUGAUUUGGAGCUGUUUGCGAGCAAAUUAGAAGAAACAAGGCAGAACAAGGAGACAUACUCGACCACCAGGUCGUGUGCAUCCAGCGCCAUACUCGACCCCCUGGUCGAGUGACUUUGGAGCCAUUCUUCCCAUCUACUCGACCCUU
rnacentral:sRNA from 1 species